rnacentral:rRNA from 1 species
CCUACGGGAGGCAGCAGUGAGGAAUAUUGGUCAAUGGACGAGAGUCUGAACCAGCCAAGUAGCGUGAAGGAUGACUGCCCUAUGGGUUGUAAACUUCUUUUAUAUGGGAAUAAAAUGUUCCACGUGUGGGAGUUUGUAUGUACCAUAUGAAUAAGGAUCGGCUAACUCCGUGCCAGCAGCCGCGGUAAUACGGAGGAUCCGAGCGUUAUCCGGAUUUAUUGGGUUUAAAGGGAGCGUAGGUGGAUUGUUAAGUCAGUUGUGAAAGUUUGCGGCUCAACCGUAAAAUUGCAGUUGAAACUGGCAGUCUUGAGUACAGGAGAGGUGGGCGGAAUGCGUGGUGUAGCGGUGAAAUGCUUAGAUAUCACGAAGAACUCCGAUUGCGAAGGCAGCUCACUGGACUGCAACUGACACUGAGGCUCGAAAGUGUGGGUAUCAAACAGGAUUAGAUACCCGAGUAGUC